CAGACAUGCCGGCGGUGGAUCAAUUCAGGGGAAACUCUGAGUGCACUUCUUCGCUUGGCAGGUUAGCGUCGAUUUUGGAUGUCAUAAAAUGACUGGGGGAAGGUAGCUCCUUCGGGAGUGUUAAGCCCUUGGUAGAUGUGAUGUUCGGGAUCGAGGUUUGCAACGGAUACCCUUUGGGUUAGCCACCUGGUCUCUAAUACGAAGUUGGGUAUGGAUAGCAUG
rnacentral:rRNA from 1 species